AACGCUGGCGGCGUGCCUAAUACAUGCAAGUCGAGCGCAGGAAAUAAACAGAACCCUUCGGGGUGAUGUUUAUGGAAUGAGCGGCGGACGGGUGAGUAACACGUGGGCAACCUGCCUGUAAGAUCGGGAUAACUCGCGGAAACGUGAGCUAAUACCGGAUAACACUUUUCAUCUCAUGGUGAGAAGAUAAAAGACGGUUUCGGCUGUCACUUACAGAUGGGCCCGCGGCGCAUUAGCUAGUUGGUGAGGUAACGGCUCACCAAGGCGACGAUGCGUAGCCGACCUGAGAGGGUGAUCGGCCACACUGGGACUGAGACACGGCCCAGACUCCUACGGGAGGCAGCAGUAGGGAAUCUUCCGCAAUGGACGAAAGUCUGACGGAGCAACGCCGCGUGAGUGAUGAAGGUUUUCGGAUCGUAAAACUCUGUUGUUAGGGAAGAACAAGUUGGGUAGUAACUGACCCAACCUUGACGGUACCUAACCAGAAAGCCACGGCUAACUACGUGCCAGCAGCCGCGGUAAUACGUAGGUGGCAAGCGUUGUCCGGAAUUAUUGGGCGUAAAGCGCUCGCAGGCGGUCUUUUAAGUCUGAUGUGAAAGCCCACGGCUUAACCGUGGAGGGUCAUUGGAAACUGGAGGACUUGAGUACAGAAGAGGAGAGUGGAAUUCCACGUGUAGCGGUGAAAUGCGUAGAGAUGUGGAGGAACACCAGUGGCGAAGGCGACUCUUUGGUCUGUAACUGACCCUGAGGAACGAAAGCCUGGGUAGCGAACAGGAUUAAAUACCCUGGUAGUCCACGCCGUAAAC
rnacentral:rRNA from 1 species